UAUUGCACAAUGGGGGAAAACCCUGAUGCAGCAACGCCGCGCGAGUGAAGAAGCAUUUCGGUAUGUAAAGCUCUAUCAGCAGGGAAGAAGAUGACAGUACCUGAGUAAGAAGCCCCGGCUAACUACGUGCCAGCAGCCGCGGUAAUACGUAGGGGGCAAGCGUUAUCCGGAUUUACUGGGUGUAAAGGGAGCGUAGACGGUUGUAUAAGUCUGGAGUGAAAGCCCGGGGCCCAACCCCGGGACUGCUUUGGAAACUGUGUAACUUGAGUACAGGAGGGGCAGGCGGAAUUCCUGGUGUAGCGGUGAAAUGCGUAGAUAUCAGGAGGAACACCGGCGGCGAAGGCGGCCUGCUGGACUGAAACUGACGUUGAGGCUCGAAAGCGUGGGGAGCAAACAGG
rnacentral:rRNA from 1 species